UGGCCCAGAAACUGCUCUCAAGCCCCAGCCCCUGUUCGAGUGGGGUUUCUUGCUUAGAACACUGCUCAGCCUUUCCCUCGUCCUGCAGGCCAAAGAGAGGGAUGUGGAAAUGCAUUCUUGUCUCAUUUGUAGCACGUUUUUUUUUUUUUUUUGUCUCUCCGUCGCCACCACGGCCUAACUCUCUGUGGCUGAACACUAGCGUGACCUAUUCGUAAAAGUCACCUCCAGUUCAACCAACCAGUUUCCACGUCUACCUGCAAAAGCAUCUGUCCCAAAGGCUGAGGUAGUAGAUUGAAUAGUUGUGGGGUUUGAUCCUCCCUCAGAGAUAACUUUUCAAUCUACUGUCUUUCCUAAGGAGACAGGAUGAUCUGCCGUGAUGAUGAAGAAUCAAUGUGUUUCAGAAGCUCCAUGGAUAAAAGAAGCCAUGGACUCAAAAAAGAUGAUUUAAGGAUCAAUUGAUCCUUCAAAUCUGAGGGGGAGGUUGUGGAUACAAAAAAAGACUUCAUGUACUGAACAGAAUAGUGUAACUGCUGCAUUAUUACAAUGUGUAAUAAAGCGCAUGUUUAAUUUUAUUUAUUUAAUAGGGACAAUGUAAUUUAACAUAGUUUCAAUACAUACAUGAAACUGAUGUGCUGCAUAAAGAGUAUCUAUUGCUAAUUUCCAACUCUUGUCCCUUAGUUGGGCCAAUGGGUAACGUCUAGUUUUUGAGGGUAGUCACUGGUGCCUGAAGUUGAGCCUUGCAAGGUGAGGUAGUAGGUUGUAUAGUUUGUGGGAUGGAGUAAAUCCUGCUCAGGUGAUAACUAUACAGUCUAUUACCUUUCUUGAGAGGUACAAUGAGUGCUUGGAAUGAGGCUCACUCACACAGAAGAAGCAACUCUGACGCCAUCUUGUGACCAAAGACAGUAAGAUGAAAGAUAUAUUUGCAUUUGGGCUUGUUUCUGGGGUGAUUAUGCAAAGCUUUCCAGGUGUGAAUCUCCAAAAAAAAAGGAUGGUUUUACUGAGACAUUGGGACAGUCAAGAGGAGCCAUGAGGCUCAUAGAUCCAAAGUCUGUUCAGCAAUAUUUUUUCAUUUUAAAUCUUACGAUACAAAGAUGACAGUUGCAUAUCUGAAUUUUUGCACACACUUAGUUUAUUUUUGUUUGUUGCUUUGUUUGAAGGUCUGGCUGUGUUUAUCCAUUCCCAUUCCUAGUACGUUGUAUCUGUAUGUACACAAUUCUAUGUAUGAUAAGACUCUGAUUUUGAGAAAUUGUUUUUUGUAAUUCCCUGUUUGAAAACCAAUAAAAAGUGUUGAAUGUUUAAAAGUGGUAUCAAUAAGGACUCGGAUCGUUAGGAAGUAUCGAUAAGGGUAUCACUAUAAUUAGAAAUGAACAAUCUCCAUUCUAAUCAAGGAUCCCAAAAGGGUCACCUGUCAAGGUAACUGUGAACUCAACGAGGAGGUUUUAAAAAUGUUUUAGUAACAGGGUCAACCCUGCCUUCGCCCCUGUCCAUCUUUCCAUUUAGCUAAACGUUAUCAGCAGCAAGUAUACUCCGAGAAAAGGUAUGAAAUGUAUCCCUUUGUAACCCCAGUGUGUAAAGAAAA